rnacentral:rRNA from 1 species
CCUACGGGGGGCAGCAGUAGGGAAUAUUGGGCAAUGGGCGCAAGCCUGACCCAGCGACGCCGCGUGAGGGAUGAAGGUCUUCGGAUUGUAAACCUCUUUCAGUAGGGAAGAAGCGAAAGUGACGGUACCUAAAGAAGAAGCACCGGCUAACUAUGUGCCAGCAGCCGCGGUAAUACAUAGGGUGCAAGCGUUGUCCGGAAUUAUUGGGCGUAAAGAGCUCGUAGGUCGUUUGUCGCGUCGAUUGUGAAAAUCUGAGGCUCAACCUCAGACCUGCAGUCGA